CUGCUGGAAAGAAGAGACGGUCCAGCUGGAACCCGCAGCCGCGACCCUCCAGGCAGCGCCCUGGCCCCACCUGCCCCCGCUGCACGGCGGCGGCUCCCAGUUCCGUCCCCACCCAACACGACCCGAGCAGGGCACUUAUCAAGACCAGCCUGGCGCCUGGAGCUGCUGUGGGAUCCCAGGUUUCCUCCAUGAGCCACUAACCUGGGAGACUAAGAGGAUCCAGAAACUCUCUUCCGGCUGGGUACCCAUCCUGAACCCAGAAGCUAUGCCAAAACUAAGAAACCUCUGCUGUUGCUCCCAUGGCUCAGGGCACUUGCACUGUUACAGAUACAUCUCACAAAGAGUGCUGCCUACAGCAUAUUAUGGAGGGAAAUCUCCCUGAGUACCAACUGACAAAAGACUGGACCCGAGGACUGGGGCUUGUGCCCCCUGGUCAGGUUCUGCUGAACUGGUGACUGCUGCCCUCCAAGAGCUCCUGAGCUGCUCACGGUACCUGUCCUGACCCUAGUCCUGGCUCUCUGCCAGAUCUGCUACUGCCUUCGUGGCUGGGGCCACAGAAUGCACACCACUACCAGUAGGUCAACCUGGACCUAAUUGGCAAGAGCAUCAGCAACCUGAUGGUUUGCCCUCUGGCUUCCAAACACCCCAGAAUUGCCACUAUGUUUCAAGUUGGACUCAACAACUCUAGACCAUGUUUCUAAGAAAUUAAACCAUCAAAGCUAAAGAUAGAGAAGGGAACACCAAAUAAAAUGUGAUUGGAGAUCCUACGCGGGGAGGAAGAUGCGUGCUGAAAGUAGACUAGAGACUGAACACGAUGGUCACUCAAUGCCCCUGUUGCAAACCACAACACCCAAAA